rnacentral:rRNA from 1 species
UACGGAGGGGGCUGGCGUUGUUCGGAAUUACUGGGCGUAGAGCGCACGUAGGCGGACCAGCAAGUUAGGGGUGAAAUCCCGGAGCUCAACCCCGGAACUGCCUUUAAAACUGUUGGUCUGGAGGUCGAGAGAGGUGAGUGGAAUUCCGAGUGUAGAGGUGAAAUUCGUAGAUAUUCGGAGGAACACCAGUGGCGAAGGCGGCUCACUGGCGCGAUACUGACGCUGAGGUGCGAAAGCGUGGGGAGCAAACAGG